rnacentral:lncRNA from 1 species
UCGUACAUGAUUGCAUUAUUGCCGACGGACGCUAUCAGAGUCGGGACAUAAAGCUAGCAGGUGCUCCUGGUAAGUGGUACGUAAUCACUAAUCAGUGGCCUCCUCCUAUCCGUAUCCAUUCAUCCAUCUUUCUGUCAUCUCUGCUCCGCCGUUGCUGUACGAUGCCGAUGCGUCGCCCGGCCAUGAAUGAUGAUCCACUAUCCAGUGGCAACUUGUCCUCAUCUGCCCCAUGAUUGGAAGAAAGCUCCCUUCUAGCUGAGGUUAAGCAGAAUGGACGCAUGCAUGCAUGCACCGGAGAGAGCAGAGGUCGAUCGAUCGAUCUGGAGCAGUGUCAGCAGGAAUGUAGAAAGGCUAGUUAAUUUAUUUUUUUGCAGUCAGAUCCAGCAGCCUGAAAACUCAGCAGCAGGUCUGUGUACAUGACAAACAACUUUCGGUGACACAGCCAUGUCGGUGCACGCGGGAUGCAGUGGAAGCAUGAAAUCUAGAUUCAUUUUGCCAGCUGGAAUUCCAAACGACAUAUCUUAUCAUGCAACUUGCAGGAUAGGACGAUCUAGAUGGUGGAUGAGUCCAGUCCACUAGCGAAGAAUGAGCCAAGCGAGUGUGGUGCUACCAACCGGACCAGGAGAGGACCAGGACCAGCCCCACCAUGCAUGCAGGUGCAGCAGAUAGCUAGAGUAGCUCUGCUUUCUCCCCCAGGCGGCGCAGGAAAUUAAUUCCUCACCUUUCUGACGUUGCAUCCGUCUUUUUUUUUACGAGAAAACUUUGCUCUAUUCAUUUUCAAUUAUAACAGCAUAAUUGUUUAUGAUUUUCAGGUCAUGGAUCAUGGAUGGAUCCCGGCCAGACAAUCCCAAUUGGCUCUUCAGCAUCUGAAAUGUUCAUAGCGAUCUUUUUGGUUUGUUUUCAAGCAAAAGUUUAGUUCCCUUAAAAAAGAAAUGGUUUAGUGCCCUCCUGUUGUUUUUACGUAUUUGUUUACUUUGUCCGCGUGCAUAUCAACCUCUUAUAGUCUUAUGUAUGGCUUUAACGCACUAAUCACCUCAGAAGAAACAAAGUGCACCAGCUCAUGAACCAAAGCGGUUUUGCACCUAUGUCUAUG